rnacentral:lncRNA from 1 species
AUUUGGGAGGUUGCAUUUAAGGCACAGUUUGAACGUCAACGGAUGUCACCAAUAUAAAAAAUGGAUGAAGCUAAGAAGGGGAAGACUGAUAGAAGAAGCACUCAGGAAUUAGUAUUUUUUAUCCCCUGUGUGGGAACGUAUCUUCUUUCAUGUUAUUUCCCUUUCCCUAAAGAUUGUAUCCCUCUUUCGUUAUCUUUUGUAGGAAUUUAUGCCCUUUUAGUGUCUAUAAAAGUUG